ensembl:lncRNA
AAUCUUACCAACCCCAAAUGUUUGAAAAGUAGUAUUUCAGUUCAGCAGAGUUUAACCAGUCCUCGGGGUGAUGUAUUCGGAGGUUCAGAAUAUCCAUGGGUAUGCAAGCAGCUGGAAUGGUCUUCAUCUCUCACAAGCUCUUUGGAGAUGGAGCGAGCCGACGUGGACCAGAGCCUGUGUUUUGGACUCAUGUCUUCCUCUUCCUUAAUCCACUCCACUCCAUCUCAGAACCUGAGUGAUCUGGUCAGCCAAAUACUUGAGUCGUCUUCCUCCGCGCUAGACCCACCAAUCCAACUGAAUAACUUAACCACUGCAUCACCAUUACACGAGCCAUCAGUGCAGGAAAUCUCAUCUUCGUUUCCAUCUCCAUCCUGUGUGGAAGCUGUGACAUCAACACUGGAUUCCUUCACUCUUAAUGAUGACGUUUUUCUUGGGACUCACUGUUACAGCAGGAAGAAUAAGAUGGCAUCAUCUGCAUCAGAACAUACGGGCUCAUCUUUCAGUGAAAAUACUGAGAGCAGCAACAGCAGUGGCGGCAUCAGACAAGUGUGGUAUUACCUCACUUCCUCUAGGGACUCCUCUGAAUUGUCUCUCAGCACCACCAUGCCUCAGUCGUCCACUGCAUCUUCAUCUUAUGUGACAGAAUCUUGUGAUGAGACCACUGCUUCCUCAGCCUCUGUGAUUGAGCUGAGUUCAGAUUCGUCAGAUGCUGGAAUGCCACUCAGACCAGCUAAUCAGACUCAUCCUCACGCAAAUCCAGAGGUCAUCACCCUGAGUGACAGUAGCAGCUGUGAAAGCAACUUCAGUAAGACUUCAGAAGAGUAUAAACAUGAGUCCUUUACAGUGGGAGAUUUAGAUGAACCACACCCACUAAAAAGUGAUGUGAAAUGCCAGAAGUCAAGUUUGAGUGAAGAAAUGCUGCAUAAUGAAGCAGGAAGUGCAACUGAAGAAGGAGGAAAAGAUCUUAAGGAACUAAAGAACAUGGAUUUCAAAACGGAAAAAGGCAACUGUGGUGAAGACAGUUCAACAAGAGGUGUAGCAUAUAUACUGUAACUCAACACACUGGAGCACAUUGGAUCACUGUGGGAUGUGACUGGUUUUCACUAAAGGGCUUUAAUACACCUUGCUGCAACUUUAUACUUUACACGUGGGUUUGAGCUUUAAGGAGAGAUGCUUACAUUUUAUUACUGGUGCUCAUUUAAGGUGAUGAAAAUUAUUUAUAUAAUUAUUCCCCAAAAUUCUGGAACCUUUUAACUAUUAGACAAGCUUCACACAUUCACAACAGACACAUCUAAAAAAAAAAAAAA